UGAGGACUACAACUACGAGCAGAGAACAUCGCUGGAUCCAAAGUUAGUCCUGGGUCUUGUUCUCCAGUCCUGCUCCUCUCUGCAUCUCCUGGUGGCACAGGACUGGCGCAGUCUCCUCGUAUUCUGUCCAUGAUCACAGUCUCAGAACAGGAAUAUUUUGGGAUGCUGCUAUCCCAUUUACUCACAAAUUCUGAUCUGAAACCUGUGCAUGGAAGAAUAAUCACGGGAUCAUCAUAGCUGUGAGAACACCCUGCCUGUAGUCUCUGCAUGCUUCAAGGCUCCAUGCUCUCCUGCUCUUCCUGCCUUAUUCAAGGACACUGUCUCCAAGAAGACCUGUUCUCCCUCCCUCUUGUUCCUUGCCUGCCUGCUGGUUGCAACAACCUUGAGUCUUCAAGGAACUUUUGAGCUACCUAACACCCGAGCAGGAUGGUGGUAUAGCAAAAUUGGGAAGAAUAUUGGACUUAGAUCGAACUAUUCACAGACUGGAGGAGCAGCAAGAAUAAGACCUAUGUCUUUCAGAAGACUAUAAACCACUCACUGUAAUCAUCAAACCCCAGAAGACCCACACAAGGAAUGGACUACUUUAACAUAUAGCUAAAGGGUAAAUUUAUCACAUUGAAAUUUGGUGGGAUUGAAACAUUGGAUUCCUAUAUACCACUGUGGAAAUUCAGCCUCUGAGGUCCUGAAGAACUGUGUUUCAGAAUAGAAUUACGCUUUCAAAAUUGCACUCAUGUACUGCUGUGGUUUCUUUCAGCAGUUUCUGAUCAUAUACCUUCAUAAGAACUCAGUUCCCUACCUGAUGAGGGCUGAGGCAAAGAUCCUGCCACGUUUCAGCAGCCACAAGUUCAUGAAAAGCCAGAAUCAAAUCCAUUUCCAUAUCUCCCUCCUGGACUAAGUGAAAAGCAAUCAGCUCAUAUGCUGUGAUGUCAGAGACUAUGAAGCUAACUGCAAAGAGAAAAAAGAGCCCAAGAAUAAAGGUGCAUAUGCCUGAAUGUACUUCUUAGCACAGUCUUAAAUUACAGCAGUAAACAGAAUACUUUAAAAAAUUUCACUCUUUUAUAUGGGUCCAAAAUUGUCCUCUAUAAAGUCUAGGUACAAACUCACUUGAUUUUCUUCAAGGACUAAACCCAAGAGAUUUUGACAAACACUGGGGUGCAAAACAUACUGUCCAGAGCUAGGAUCCUUCUGACUGCUAUGUUUAAUGUAAAAUGAGUUAGAAACUGGAUGACAGUCUCUACCACUGGGUUACACAAAUGCCAGAACUACAAACAGAAACAGGUAGUAGGCAGAAGACGGCUUGCAGCUCUUAAGUCAGGAAAUGCCAGGUGUAAUAUAAAAAUAAAAACCCCAACCUUUAAAUAAACUAAGCUGUAUUUCAGAGUUUGUAUUUUCAGAGUAUGGUGAUAUGUGUUUAUUUCUGUCUAGAGAGCCAUCAUACUGUUCAGAGGCAAGAGGUCAUUUUCUUCUACAUUUAGGCUGUUCGUAACAGGUCUAUUUUGACUUUCCACACUAAUGCAGCUUUUAAUUGCCUAUGAAAUUGCAUCACCCUGAGGGAACUUCAUAGUAACAUUCAAAAUCAUGUUUUCCUUUUUUGUGAUCAGGGAUCAGAAGAAAAGUUACAGAAACUGGAAUCAUAAACAUAGUGCAAGAAAUUUACAGAUCGGCUAUAAAAUGGAAAUUGUAUUAACUGAGAG